CACAUUAGGUAUGCAUUUGGUACCUAUGUGUUUUACACAUAUGCACAUACAGAUUUAUCAUGGUAACAUAACUACACGUGUACAAAUAUGUGCUCACUAUUUUAACUAUGUACACACGAAAAUAUAGAUACAAACUCUGGACCUAUGCAGAGGCAUGCUAUUUCCACAGCCCACAUCGCAGCAUUUCCCACUCGCCCUCUGGAUGCUUACGGACACCCGGGCUUUGAGGCUGUGCCCACAGCUGCCACCAGAGGGUCUAUAAGAGCACCCAGGCCCACCCUGGCUACCUCCGGAUGCCAUGGCUAGAAAGCUGUGCCCACAUCCCCACCAGAGGUCCUGUAGCAGCUCGCCAGCCCACUCUGGCAACUUAGGGACACUCUGGAUUAAGGGCGUUUUCUGAUACAUUCCCAGAAAGCAUGUAGCAGACCCAAGUCCAACCCUGCAGCUUAGGGACACAUUAACUAGGUGACUGUGCCCAGAGCACCCACCAGAGGGCCCGAAGUAAAUCCCAGGUGCACCAUGGCUGCUUAGGGACACGCUGGCUAUGUGGCUGUCCUAACAGGCUCCACUAGCGUGCCUGUAGCAGCCCAGUAGCUUAGAAUGGCUGCUUAAGGAAACCCUGGAUAGAGCACUGUGCCCACAGUCCCCACCAACGAGCCCGUAGCAGGCCCAAGGCACACCAUCAUAGCUUUGGGACCCCUGGUUUGUUGGCUCUGCUCACCGCUGCUGGGGCCAAGCUAUUUAAGACAUGUGGUUUAAUAUGAUACUGGCGACCAUAUCAUACAGAAAUGAUAGUGUUAUUCUCUUUUGCUAUAUAUGAGGCAGUAGUUAUAGUUACACCUCUGCUAUAUUGACAAAUUUGCCAUCCUCAAAUCCCUUGACAUGAGAAUUGAAAGCAUAGGGGAGUUUCACCCCUUGCAAUGUUUAAUUCAAUAUAACUGUUUUCUUGUUUACAUUAGUGACCCUAUCACAGCAUUCUGUAUACCUCUUGCCAUAUUCAGAAUACUUCCCUAUGAGCCGCAACAUUUUCCUCUCCUCUGGAUGUUAGGAACUAUAUCCCAGGACCGGCCUACAACCCCAGUCACAUCUGACCCUAUCAGAACAUGCUGUACACCUCUUGCCAAAUUCAGAGUACUUCCCCAUAAGCCGCAACAUUUUCCUCUCCUCCUCUGGAUGUUAGGAACAAUAUCCCAGGACCGGCCUACAACCCCAGUCACAUCGUGA
rnacentral:lncRNA from 13 species